UACAGAGGUCUCAAGCGUUGUUCGGAUUCAUUGGGCGUAAAGGGUGCGUAGGCGGCGCGGUAAGUCGGGUGUGAAAUCUUGGAGCUUAACUCCGAAACUGCAUUCGAUACUGCCGUGCUAGAGUACUGGAGAGGAGACUGGAAUUUACGGUGUAGCGGUGAAAUGCGUAGAUAUCGUAAGGAAGACCAGUGGCGAAGGCGGGUCUCUGGACAGUUCCUGACGCUGAGGCACGAAGGCCAGGGGAGCAAACGGG
rnacentral:rRNA from 1 species